GUGCACACUUCGGCAGCACAUAUACUAAAAUUGGAACGAUACAGAAAAGAUGAGUAUGGCCCCUGUGCAAAGAUGACAUGCAAGUUCCUGAAGCGUUCCGUAUUUUU